rnacentral:tRNA from 1 species
CAGUAGCUCAAUGGUAGAGCGGAUGGCUGUUAACCAUUAGGUUGCAGGUUCGAGCCCUGCCUG